GUCUCUGCAUGCAAAUUAAAACAAAAUGUAAAAUUGGAACAACACAGAGAAGAUUAGCAUGGCCCCUGCGCAAGGAUGACACGCAACUUGAUGAAGUGUUCUAUAUUAAA
ensembl:snRNA U6 U6 spliceosomal RNA